GACGAACGCUGGCGGCGUGCUUAACACAUGCAAGUCGAACGGAAAGGCCCUGCUUUUGUGGGGUGCUCGAGUGGCGAACGGGUGAGUAACACGUGAGUAACCUGCCCUUGACUUUGGGAUAACUUCAGGAAACUGGGGCUAAUACCGGAUAGGAGCUCCUGCUGCAUGGUGGGGGUUGGAAAGUUUCGGCGGUUGGGGAUGGACUCGCGGCUUAUCAGCUUGUUGGUGGGGUAGUGGCUUACCAAGGCUUUGACGGGUAGCCGGCCUGAGAGGGUGACCGGCUAAGUUGGGACGGAGAUACGGCACAGACUACUCCGGGAGGCAGCAGAGGGGAAUAGUGCACAAGGGGCGGAGGCCUGAUGCAGCAACGCAGCGUGCGGGAUGACGGCCUGCGGGUUGUAAACCGAUUUCGCCUGUGACGAAGCGUGAGUGACGGUAAUGGGUAAAGAAGCACCGGCUAACUACGUG
rnacentral:rRNA from 1 species